rnacentral:misc_RNA from 1 species
GAAAUGCGAUAAGUAAUGUGAAUUGCAGAAUUCAGUGAAUCAUCGAAUCUUUGAACGCACCUUGCGCUCCUUGGUAUUCCUUGGAGCAUGCCUGUUCGAGUAUCAUGAAAUCUUCAAAGUAAAUCUUUUGUUAACUCAAUUGGUUUCUACUUUGGUAUUGGAGGUCUUUGCAGCUUCACACCUGCUCCUCUUUGUUCAUUAGCUGGAUCUCAGUGUUAUGCUUGGUUCCACUCGGCGUGAUAAGUUAUCUAUCGCUGAGGACACUGUAAAAGGUGGCCAAGGUAAAUGCAGAUGAACCGCUGCUAAUAGUCCAUUGACUUGGACAAUACUUUUAUGAUCUGAUCUCAAAUCAGGUAGGACUACCCGCUGAACUUAAGC